rnacentral:lncRNA from 1 species
CUUUUUAGGGCUGCACCCACAGCGUAUGGAGGUUCCUAGGCUAGGGGUCUAAUCGGAGCUACAGCUGCCGGCUGACGCCACAGCCAUAGCAACGCCAGAUGCGAGCCGCGUCUGUGACCUACACCACAGCUCACAGCAACACCGAUCCUUAACCCACUGAGUGAGGCCAGGGAUCAAACCCACAACCUCAUGGUUUCUAGUCAGAUUCAUUUCCGCUGCGCUACGACAGGAACUCACUCCCUACAAGUCUUAAAUAAAGAAGACAAAAGGUUUAGAGCUGAUAAAACUGGUUUAUGCUAUACUGAUGGUCAUUUUCUUACUCAUUAUUCUUUCUGUUGAUUUUAAGGAAAUAUUAAGAGGCUGACCAGCAGCUCUGGGCCUGAGCACAGGGUCUGCCUUCACAGGACUCAUGGCAGGACAAGGGAAGCAGGAAUGCCCGGUGCUCUGGGGUUGCCAGAUACCAUGCGUGGAGGGCUUUUCCCUUGCAACUUGCAGUCUCUCCUCCAACCUAGGAGUGAAUGCCUGGUCUGAUACUCUGGGCUGCAGUGGGAACCAAGUCCAUCUCCUCACCGCCCCACACCCAGCUGGUGCAGGGGCUUGAAACUCCUCUCUACCAGUUACCCUCUCCCCACCUGCUUUCCAUCGAAACCACUCGGACUCAGACUCCCCACUUCACUUUGUCCCUGUAGGUUUAUCGCCCUUCUGACCCUUUACUGUCAUUUUAAUGGGGUCUUUGUUUUUUUUUUAAUUUUUAAAAUUACAGUUGAUUUAUAAUGUUCUGUCAAUUUCUGCUAUGCAGCAAAGCAACCUAGUCAUACACAUAUACAUUAUUUGUCUCAUAUCAUCUCCCAUCAUCUUCUAUCCCAAGAGAUUGGACACAGUUCCUUGCGCUGUACGGUAGGACCUCAAUGCUUAUCCAUUCUAACUGUAACAGUUUCCAUCUACCAAUCCCAAACUCCCCAUCCACCCCACUACCUCCCUCUUCCCCCUUGGGAAGUCUGUUCUCCAUUUAAUGGGGUCUUUGGAGAGACAAAAAAUAAUACAUAUGAUAGACUGAUAUCCUUAACCCAAAUGGAUAAUGAAUCUGUUUGAAAAGACACGUGAUAAAGAGGGUUUUGCUAUGGACUGAAUGUUUUUGCCUCCCGCCCAAAUUUAUAUGUCAAUUUGGAGAUACAGCCUUUGGGAAGUAACUAGGGCAUAAAGGUGCCCUUAUUAGAAGACACUAAAAAGAACUUGCUUCCCCUCCCUGCUCUCUGCUACAUGAGGAUAUGGCCACGCGCAAACCAGGAAACCAUUCUGCCGGCACCUCGGUCCUGACUUUCCACCCUCUAGACCCAUGAGAAGUCAGUGUUUGUGCUUUAAGCCACCCAGGCUAUGGUAAACCCAGCCCAAGUACACCAAGACAGAGGUAGUGGAAUAUUCUAUUUACAUGUCCUGAGUGACUUGGAUAUAUUCAUGCUUUUGCAUGCAAAAACUAGGAGAUAUGAUCCAACAUGGAAAUUUGGAAAUGUGUGCAAGCAAUUUCCUGGACAGCUCCCACCCUUAGUCCAUUAAGGACCUGGGCUUUUGAUCUUGUGUUCCAUACACAGUCACCCUGUUUAGGAGCAAAGCAACCCACGUCAAAGCAACCCAACUGCCCCAGUUAGUUAACUUUCCAAUCCAUGAGGCGCUCUCUUCAUGAACCAUAUCACAUAUCACAGAUGGAGACCUAAUGAUUGGCAUAUAUUUUACACCUAAAAUGUUUUUAAUGCCAGAGGAAUGUUUUGGUAGUCAAAGUAAUAUCAAACCAAGAGUUUCUAAUUCCAAAAAUUACUCUAGAAAUUAUUCAAAUAAAUGAAUAAUCCAAAAAGACUUUCAAAAAUGAAUUCAAUUACACUUGAGUUUCUAAUCUAAUGUAUAAAUGCACCUGCUGGAACUGAAACAUCGAAGGAGGAAAAUAUCAAAGGAUAAAGAUGACCAUAAGCAGUAGGUUAGGCAUGACACAGAACCUAAGAGUCUUUUUCGAAUUUUGUGAACUACUGAUAGCUAGGGAAAGAAUUUCGCAUGGAUCAUUCUAAAGUUAGAAAGCCAAAUUCUCUCAGCCCCACAUGACUUUCAGAGAGCUUCUUCACACUAUUUGGACCCCUGGACUGGAAAACUGAGUUCAUCUAGACUCAGCUGUCUCAUCGCUCACUGAGAAAACAUUUUGGUUUCCAGCAGGUUUGGCAUCCAAAAUAUGAAAUGGUUUGUUUUCAAUGAUGUCGUUCUCCCUGCCGACCUCUCCCAUAGACACAAAUAAACAGUUAAUUAUCAUAGAAAUAACUAGUAUGUGUGUGUGUGUGUGUGUGUGUGUGUGUGUGUGUGUGUGUGCAAUGCAAGAGGCAGAGUAAGCCAGACCUUUCAAAUGCUGCAUUUGUUCAAUCAUCUGGAAAAACACAAAAGAAGUAAUUUACAUUUUCAGUUUAAAUAAUGCAAACCCUGUGAUCAGAAGAUGACAAACGGUUUAUGAACACUGACUCUGACAAACAUGACAAAAUCACUCCCUGUUUGAGUAUAAAAAUACAUGCUGCACACAGGUCAACAGUCUUUCCAGCAUCAGCAAGGAAUGAACUGAGCUAAUUUCCACACUGCAAUUUAUGUCUCUCCUGACAGUAACUGGGUAACAGCCUGUGCUGACUGGGGGGAUUUUGCUGCUAGUUCUCCCCCACAAAUGGCAAAACAUCCCAAUGCCAGAGACAGAUAUGAUUUCACAUUAUUUAUGCUCAGCCUGAUUUCCCUCUCAUUCUUAGCUUACACGCCUUCAUUUUAAUCUUGAGAAUUCUUUAUGAUCUUUCAGCAUAUAUCUAUCCAUCACUAUAGCCUCUCAAAUAUCACAGGACCUCUGCUGAAGGGUAUGCUUUUGAAGAAUUCACUCGCCCAAUCUUUCAACAUUUUCCAGGCCAGCUAUCCUGCAUCCUAACGUCAAUGAGCAUAUGCCACAUCCAGACCGAUGUGAGACGUGCUUCUGGGAUCAGGUACGUUCGUGUCCCCCCGUACCUCCUAUAGCACGUUUCCUGUCAUUCAGCAUCAUGGCAAUAGAGGCUCUUGUCGUCUAUUAUCCCACCCUCGGAAGCCCACAUUCUUCCACACCAUUCUCCACAUUCAGGAUCAAGGCAGAAAACUGAGAGGCUAGGAGAAUAACUGCUCAUUAUUUUGGGGGGUCUGAAAUCUAUCCUGAAAUGAUAUGUCAGUGUUGGACCUGGCAAGAAGCUAGACCUAAAUCCUUGUGUAUGAGUCAGGGCUUUCUAUAGAACCAACAAGAUGUGGAGAGAGGGAGGAAGAGAGAGAAAUGGGCUUAAGCAAUUAUGGAGGCUGAGAAGUUCCAAGAUCAGAGGUUAGCAAGCUAAAAGUCCAGGAGAGCCAAUAGCAUAAAUUCCAGUCCAAGAGCCAGCAGGCUCAAGACCCAAGAACUGCCAAUGUUUCCAUUCAAAUCUGAAAGCAAGAAAAAUACUUUUAUCCCCACUAAAGCUUUCAAGUGGGAAGACUUCCCUCUUUUUUGAGGGAAGGUGUCAGGCUUUUUAUUCUAUUUAGGCCUUCCAAUGGAAGAUGAGGCUCACCUCUAGUAGGAGGCAAUCUGCUUUUUACUUAGUCUACUCAUCCCCAUGCUAAUCUCAUCUGAAAACCACUCAGAGACACGCCCAGGAUGAUAUUUAACCAACUCUCUGGCCAGCUCAGUGGCUGACACACAAAAUUAACCAUCACACCUUGGUUUACAAUCUCAGCUGUAAACUAGAGUCCGCUGUGAGCUUUUAAAAAUCGUGGUGUCAAAUCUGUACCCCCGGACCAGUUAAAUCAGAAUCUCCGGAAUGGGAACCAGGCAUAAGUAUUUUGAAUGAGUGUUGAGGACUCUGGACUUUGUAUUUUGCAAUAAAAGUCCAAAGUUGAAAGCCACGGCCCAUGAGAUCACCCUAACUAGAAUUCUCCUUUGGCUGUGCAAUAGGUCAUUUGCACCUGCCCAGGAGAGCAAUUCGGAUGACUAUGCACACCACGCAUUGGACAGGAUGCGGAGGAAGUGAAACUCUCCCACAGAGCUAAUGGGAAUGUAAUGCUACAACCUUGUUAGAAAACAACUGGGCAGUGUCUUAAAAUUUAAACAUACAUCUACCACGUGCUACAGACAUUCCACGGCUACUUUUAUGCAAAAGAAAUGAGUACCUCUGUCCAUACAAAGAUGUUUACACAAAUGUUCACUGCAGCUUUGUUUGUCACAGCCCCAAAGUGUAAACCACUCCAACAUCCAUCAACAGGCAAUGGACACUUCUAAACAUAUUGCAGGAUUCCAAUGAUACAAAUGUCCAGAAAAUUCAAAUUAAUCUAGAAAGACAGAUAGCAUAUCAGUGGUUGUCUAGGAAUCGGCCAGCAAAGGGACAGGGAGCAGAGGAAGGAAGGACGGGGGAAAUCUGGGGGAUGAUGAAUAUGCUCACUCUCUUGACUGAGCUGAUGGUUUCACUUGUUCAUAUAUUUGCUAAAAGAACAUACUUUAAAUGUGGGCAGUUCAUUGUACUUCAAUGACUUCAAUAAAGCUUCCAAAAUAUUUAGGCCCUGACAUGUUUGUUUACUAAUCCUGGGUCUGUAACAGCUCUAUUUUCCCUGAGGAUUGAUUCUCAGAAUCCCUCUGUCCUAUUUGUCUCUUCUUCUAAAAGAUCUUCUUCCUAUUUUCAUUUGUCCCAGAAAUGCAUCUCUAAUCGUGCCUUACUUUCUCUUCAAGGCAAAGUAGAUAUCUGCAAGGCAUGCAAAAUUUCUCAGGAAAGGGGUUAGGGAGAAGGAAAACCAGAGUCUCUUUUCAGUAUUUGAGGUGUGUAAUACUUAACGAAUCACACUCUCUGUAAAAUAUGGGGGAAGCAGCCAAACUACAGCACAGAGCCAUGGAAGUGCAGGGACACAGAGAUGUGGCUUGCAUCCCUCCUUGCCCAGAGUGGAGAUGUGUUUUGUAGGUUGUGUUUUCCCAAGAUGCCCACAGAAUUUCCCAUGCAUGUGGCCCCCUUUCAAGGAAAUGCCGACAUUCUUCCCAUUGAGGGGUGGGUCUUGACAGUCUCCAUGGGAAUUUGGGCAGGCUUGUGACAAGGGCUGACAUGACCCAAUAGGGAACUGUGUGGCCAGAUCAUAAAAGAUGAUACAAUUUCUGCCUGGUUCCCGUGGGGCACUUGCUGUUGGAACCCAGGCAACUGUGCUAUGAGGAAUCUCAAACAGCCACAUGGAGAGUUAAUGUUGAGGUGUUCUGGCCUCUGGCCCCAGCGGAGAUCCCGCCUGAAAGCAAUGUCAGCUGCCAGUCAUGUUAGCAAAGCAGCCUUCAGAUAAUACCAGUUCCCCAGCCAUCGAAUCCUCCCAACUGAAGUUCCAGAUACUGCACAACAGAGACAAGAUAUUCCCCUAGGCUCUUUCCAAAUGUCAAACCAACAAUAUAUUAGCAUCAUGAAACAGUUGCUUUCUGUCCCUAAGCUUCAGGUAAUUUGUUACAGUACAAUAGUAACUAGAACAGGAGGCCAGGCCCUUGUUGUCUUCAUUAACUUCCAUCGGUAGGAAUCUGUCAUUAUUGCUACUAUUCUCAAAAUUAACUUGAAGAUACUUUCACUGGGAGAAAAACUCACAACAACGUGGUACACAGCAUUUCUGAAGAAGUCAUGACCAUGAAAUCCACUGACAGGAAUGUGACUCCCAUAUACUGAUGAUACAGAGAUAAAUAAGACAGAGACCAAGGUGGGUGCUUUCCAUUAAAAAUUCAAAAUCGCACACUCUUAAUAAGGAAGCCCUAAUAUGAGUUAACUAGUGAAGUUAAUGUUUAUUGAGCCAUAAGAACAUUUUUAUCAGUGCCCUUAUUUUAUUAAUUACCAUAGAAUUGUAAACGGAGAAAACAGGCAAAAAAAUCAAUAUCCUUAGUUUUGGUGAAGUACAACAUUUUAUAGUAAAUUUAACUUUAUUUGCUCGAAGGUUUUGGUUGAAAGUACAUGGAUAUUGGAGUUCCCUUGUGGUGCAGUGGGUUAAGGAUCCAGCUGUCACUGCAGUGGCUUGGGUCACUGCUGUGGCACAGAUUCAAUCCCUAGGAAUUUCCAUAUGCCACAGGUAGCCAAAAAAAAAAAAAGUACUAAGAAAAGAGAAAAUCACAUAUUCAGAGAGUAAAGCCACAAUUCUCCAGCUUUGUUCAAUAUAAGUUUAUUGAGCAUCUACUAGAAGACAUCAGUGGGAUGGCUCCAUUUCCUCUGGCCAUGUUCACUCGUCUACAGAUAUCCUAACACAGUUAGUUCUCUGAUGGGACUAGGAGAUGAAAGGGAGGUCCACUGAAAUGAAUGGAUUGAUACAGUCUCUGGCAAAUCUCAAGGCACAUUCUCCAAGCUGGAGGCCAUUCACGCAGGACAAAUGAUGCAGCGUUUUAAAAUAAACUGGCUCAGGACAUGGAAACAAUCCAAAUGUC